GGAGUUAGCCGGUGCUUCUUCUGUGAGUGAUGUCCUUCCUGCCGGUUAUUGACCCGCAGGCCUUCUUCCUCACUGAAAGUGCUUUACAACCCGAAGGCCUUCUUCACACACGCGGCAUGGCUGGAUCAGGGUUGCCCCCAUUGUCCAAUAUUCCCCACUGCUGCCUCCCGUAGGAGUCUGGGCCGUGUCUCAGUCCCAGUGUGGCUGAUCAUCCUCUCAGACCAGCUACGGAUCGUCGCCUUGGUGAGCCGUUACCUCACCAACCAGCUAAUCCGACAUAGGCUCAUCCGAUAGCGCGAGGCCCGAAGGUCCCCCGCUUUCCCCCGUAGGGCGUAUGCGGUAUUAGCCUGGGUUUCCCCAGGUUAUCCCCCACUACCGGGCAGAUUCCUAUGCAUUACUCACCCGUCCGCCGCUCGCCACCAGGGAGCAAGCUCCCCGUGCUGCCGCUCGACUUGCAUGUGUUAGGCUCGCCGCCACGCGUCAUCUGAGCCAGAGUACAACUACUCGACUAGAGCGGGCGGUCGGCGACGGACGGCGACUAG
rnacentral:rRNA from 1 species